GGCGUGUUCCUGUGGGGCUGCGGGGUGCGCAGGAUGCGCGGUUUUCGGUGUGAGGGAAACGAGGUUCGAAGCCGGAGCCAGUGCAGGAUCCGCCUCUCUUCUGCACUCUGACGCUGAGACACACACAGCGCCUCCCUGAGCCGCGGUGCUACGCGGGACAGGAAGGGUCCCGUGGUCAGGACCCCAGAAGCUCCACAUCGCGGGCCAGUGGGGUUUCCAGCCUCCCUGUCCUUAUGUUCGCCCACCUCCCUCUGCCUGGGCCUUUACGCAGGCCCCUUACUCCUGGGAUUGUCCCCACUCCACUCCGGGGCCUUACCUGGCACCACCACCACCCCCUUAGCUUCAUCCCACUAUAGCUUCCGUUUUGUCAGCGCCAGUUGUCUUCUGUCACCGUGCUAAGGGCUUUACAGGACUUUCUAUUUCACUCCUUGCAACAAAUCCCAAGGUAGCCUGUUAUCCCCCAGGGCUUUCCAUUGAAGGAGCUGCAGACCCAGGCUCUGCACACCGCCUUCCUGCUCCCCAGUCCCUAGCAGAUGCCCCCACCCCAUAAUGCGGCUUUCCCUGUUGUCCAAUUGUGUCUCCCCAAGACUGGAAUUUGGGAGAAGGGCUGUCCUUAGUCGCCCCCUCUGGCACUCGGCUCACCCGGCUCAGGGAAUGGGAGUAGUGGGCAAAUGCAUCUCCAGGACACCUGCACAGGAAGCCCUUCCCGAGCCGCAGGGCCAGGAGUCAGCCCACAGGAGGGGCCCACCUAGUGGGCGGGAGAGGCCCUGGGAGAUGCGAGCUCUUCAGGGAGUCCUUCAGCAGCGGCUACCCCGCUGAGCCAGGACCGUUCAUCCUGAGCACGGGAACACCCACUGGAGGAGCGGACGCUGAGCUGCUCCUGGGCAACCCUUGAACUUCCAGUCCAUUAACCCACAUGUGGACCUUCAGGGCCUUCAAGACCUAGUCGCUUCGCAGAGGUCCCCUCCAAACACCAGCAGCACAGAACUUUGGGGAUAAGUUUCUAGCACAUGGACCCUGGGUGACAAGCAUUUCAACCACUGCACUAAAAAAUAAAUAAAUAAAUAAAUAAUAAAUAAAC
rnacentral:lncRNA from 1 species